rnacentral:tRNA from 1 species
UUAUUAUUUUGGCAGAGAAGUGCUUUAAAUUUAGAAUUUAAAUAUGUAAUUUGAAUUACAAAUAAUAC